GAUGAAGAACGCAGCGAAAUGCGAUAAGUAAUGUGAAUUGCAGAAUUCAGUGAAUCAUCGAAUCUUUGAACGCACAUUGCGCCCUCUGGUAUUCCGGGGGGCAUACCUGUUCGAGCGUCAUUAUAACCACUCAAGCUCUCGCUUGGUAUUGGAGUUCGCGAUCUCGCGGCUCCUAAAAUCAGUGGCGGUGCCUGUCGGCUCUACGCGUAGUAAUACUCCUCGCGAUUGAGUCCGGUAGGUUUACUUGCCAGCAACCCCCAAUUCUUACAGGUUGACCUCGGAUCAGGUAGGGAUACCCGCUGAACUUAAGCAUAUCAAUAAGCGGAGGA
rnacentral:misc_RNA from 1 species